rnacentral:lncRNA from 13 species
AUGAGAGUAUUGAAACUGAACACCUUUGGCUGCACAGUUCCUACAGCUGUGUGUUUUCACUGUCUGUUAUAUACGUUGGCCGAGCCUUGCAGCUCCAGGACGGGCAUGAGGAUAAAAGAGCUAGGAUGUGUAGAGCUAGGAUGUGUAGAGCUAGGAUGUGUAGAACUUCAGCUGGUUGUAGAGCUAGGAUGUGUAGAACUUCAGCUGGUUGUAGAGCUAGGUUGUGUAGAACUUCAGCUGGUUGUAGAGCUAGGAGGUGUAGAACUUCAGAUGGUUGUAGAGCUAGGAGGUGUAGAUCUUCAGAUGGUUGUAGAGCUAGGAUGUGUAGAACACAGGUCUGACUUUACACCCUGUUAUGUCUCCUCUUGUCUCCUAAACCUGGAAACCACAGAUCAUUAAAAAUAACUUCCUAAUGUCAUCGGGCAGCAGUCCAUUAUGAACGUGCCAGAACCGUGAUUAACCAUGUGAAUAGUGCAUUUAAACACUUGUGAAAGGUUGUUACUAAACCUAAGACGGUUGAAUGUAUAGAAAAACAAAAUGGCUGUCCUGAGAUGACAUCCUCCUGUUAUGAACACCCCAGACUAACUAGUGGUUAACCAUGAACACCCCAGACUAACUAGUGGUUAACCAUGAACACCCCAGACUAACUAGUGGUUAACCAUGAACACCCCAGACUAACUAGUGGUUAACUAUGAACACCCCAGACUAACUAGUGGUUAACCAUGAACACCCCAGACUAACUAGUGGUUAACUAUGAACACCCCAGACUAACUAGUGGUUAACCAGGUAUGUGUGUAGUACUGU